rnacentral:rRNA from 1 species
UACAGAGGGGGCAAGCGUUGUUCGGAAUUACUGGGCGUAAAGGGCGCGUAGGCGGCCUGCUAAGUCGAACGUGAAAUCCCCGGGCUCAACCCUGGGAUGCCGGUCGAUACUGCCGGACUAGAGUUCGGAAGAGGCGAGUGGAAUUCCCGGUGUAGCGGUGAAAUGCGCAGAUAUCGGGAGGAACACCUAUGGCGAAGGCAGCUCGCUGGGACGUUACUGACGCUGAGACGCGAAAGCGUGGGGAGCAAACAGG